rnacentral:rRNA from 1 species
UUACCGAGUUUUCAACUCCCAAACCCCAAUGUGAACCUACCUAUUCUGUUGCUUCGGCGGGAUCGCCCCGGGCGCGGCCGAGAGGCCAGCCCCGGACACAACGCGCCCCGCCGGAGGACCCAAACUCUUCUGUUUCUCACAGCGGUUAUAUUCUGAGUGGCCCCAUCGCGGGCAAAACAAAAAUGAAUCAAAACUUUCAACAACGGAUCUCUUGGUUCUGGCAUCGAUGAAGAACGCAGCGAAAUGCGAUAAGUAAUGUGAAUUGCAGAAUUCAGUGAAUCAUCGAAUCUUUGAACGCACAUUGCGCCCGCCAGUAUUCUGGCGGGCAUGCCUGUCCGAGCGUCAUUUCAACCCUCGAUCCCCCCCGGGGCGAUCGGUGUUGGGGGCCGGCGUCCUUACCGCCGCCCCCGAAAUACAGUGGCGGUCUCGCCGCAGCCUCCUCUGCGCAGUAGUUUGCACACUCGCACCGGAGCGCGGCGCGUCCACGCCGUGAAACCACCCAAAUUCUUAAAGGUUGACCUCGGAUCAGGUAGGAAUACCCGCUGAACUUAAGCAUAUCAAUAAGGCGGGAGGAA